rnacentral:ncRNA from 18 species
AAAAUGAUAGUCGCUCAAAGCGACUUUUUUUAUAGCCGAAAUCUAGUCAAAUCAAACCUUUCAAAGGUCCCCCCAAAUUG